rnacentral:rRNA from 1 species
GUCUAUGGCCAUACCACCCCGAAUGCACCCAAUCUCGUCCGAUCUCAGAAGCUAAGCAGGCUUGGGCCUAGUUAGUACUUGGAUGGGAAAUAAUCAGAAGGAUGGAAAGAUAAAUG